UAUUUUUCUCUUUCUUCCAAAACAAAAAGGAAAAAAAAACUCUCCCUCUCUCUCUCUGAGAACAAUGGUAAGCAGCAUCGUCGAAGAAGAGGAAGUUGCGGCAGAAGUAGAAGCGGUGCAAGCAGUGUAUGGAGACGAUUGCGUGGUUCUCAAAUCCUACCCUCCCCACCUCCACCUCCUUCGAAACCGAAUCAAAAGACCACACCUUUUGCUUUACCCAAAUAAGUUGUGCUAAUUUCUUCCCUUUGCAAUCACACCGCUUAAAAAAAUAAAAUAAAAUAAAACUAUGUUCAAAUUCCUUUCAAUAUCUUUCACUCUACUUUGUGAUUAAGGAAAACAAAAACAUCGAUUGAUGCAUAUCCAUGGUUUGCAAUUAGACUUCACCAUCUCGAUUCUACCAAAAAUUCAGAAGAAGGAAGAUGAGUCUACUCUGCCUAUUAACAAUGCCUCCAACUGGAUUUCUAUUCAUUUUCUGACUUUUCCGCCCACAAAUUAGAUCUGUUAUAUGUUUCAAACUUUUACAAUUACAAUUGGGUUUGGUUACAGAAAUUAGGGUUAAGGAAUUUGAAAUUCUGAUAUAGAUGAAGUGGAAUCUUUCUUCAAUCCAGAGUCUCUGAUUUCAUUAAAGCAAAGACUUUCAUUUGUGUUAUAUUGAUCCUGGAGUUUCCAGUGGGGAGGAGAUGAAACCACUGAAGAGAAUAUAUAGUGCACAAUUAUAAAGCAUUGUGUUCUUUGUUAGUGCAUCUUUUAGGUCCAAGAAAAUCCUCUCAGCUCCAAAAACUUUUUGCAGAUUAAACCCAUUAGUCAAGAAAAGUAAUGCUUAUCUAAGUUCUGAAGAAUAAAUUCAUUGAAAUGGUUCAUGGUCAUCAUGGAUAGAUUUUUUUGGAAAAUUUCAUUCAUAAUUGAGAAGUUUCUAAUGCAUAUUUAUACCGUGCAAUUGGUUAGGUAGAUUAGGUAAUGAUAAUCAUGAAUUAACUAAAAAUUGCCGUAAUGAUUAUUAUUGCUUAAAAGCUAAUCCAUAUUUAAUAUACAUUUCAGUUGAUUUAAGGAUCAUCUAGAUCUAUUAUUGCUUAAAUUCUAUGAAAUUUUUGUGGUUUGAGAUAGUGCAAUUGGUAUGGAUGCUUGACUUUUAUACCCAACUUUAAUGGCUACAUUAUAGUGAUUUUUAGUUAUUUAAGUUGAAUACCUCUAUUUAUCCUAGCCGGGGACAAAUGAUUUAUUAUUUGGAUAGAGAAUAAAAGGAUGAUUCAAAGAGCUGCAAAGAUAGGAUAGCAACAGAUUGGUAAUUGAAUUAAAAAUUGGCAUGCAUAAUUAUAUUAGAAAUGCAUUAGAUUUAAUAGAUGGCUUGGUCAAUUAGGAAUCACACCAAAGCUCUAGAUGGAGUUAGAUAUGUGUGUGUGUGUGUGUUACAUCUGUGUUUUAACAUUUCAUAGCAGUACGAUGCUUACAGCAGAGUUGUUUUUGGGUUUGAUUAACUUAAAGAUAUGUAACUAUAAAUAUCUUUCUUAAUAGUUCAAUGAUUGAUUUACAAAUCAAUUGAAAACAAUUAUAAAGAAUUAGGUAGAUGGUAAAGAGUAAAGCACCCUGCAGUCUGCAUUGCUCUAUACCAGGAACGGGAUUUCAAUUGGAUUAAUAUGCAUGUUACAGGAAGUGCGAGGAUACAAAGAGGAAAGCUUUAAGACAAAUAGCUCAAACUCAACAACAAAAGUAAGAUGGAAUCCAAAAUUUCUCUCUGAUGUUUUCUUUUAGAAUGUAUAGAAUUAUUAUGUUGUACAUUGAGGAUAUUUUUACUGAAUUAUGAAGUAACUAUUCAAUUUA